rnacentral:lncRNA from 1 species
ACGUAAUGAGAAAUUUAUAAUCAAAAUGAUAUCUUGAAAUAGUUAUUUAAUUUCAUUCAGUAAAUGAUACAUCUCUUUCAGUAGCAAACAUUUAUGGAAUAAAAGGUUUUGUCCGCAUAAUAUUACAAUCGUAUCAUAAGUACUUUAAUUAAUUCAGGUAUCAUUGUCGAUCAGCUUUAGAAGGAGAUGUUAAUCAACUUCUAUAAAUUGGUUUCACGGUCACGAAUCAUGGAUGACCCAUGCCUGGCGCCUGCGGCAGAGGGGUCUCAUAGGCGAUUCUGCGGUCCGUCCCUAUUUCUUUUUCCGCAUAUAUUUUGUCAUUACUCCUAAAUCCACCUGCAAUUUAGAAAAGUAGAAGAAUAUGAAAGUGACUCCAAUUCUUUUUCUUUUUUCGACGAAAAAAAGCUAAGAAUAAUAGUGAUGAACUAAUGAUGAGUCUGCACUAAGAGCGGACGCCGGACAGUACAAAAUGUGCCCUGAAGAAGGAUGAAACGGGCCAGUAGGAUUUUUUUUUUUAAUCAAAAGUUUAAAAAUAUUGUGCAAAACUAGGGACAUAGAAAGGGUGGGGAUAAUGCUAUGGUGGGUGCAUCCUGUUUUUGUUAUGCUUAUCUUGUGCCUAAAGAAAAGAAUGUGAUUGUUUGUUGCCCAUCUUCGGGCUAGUUGGUUUCUAGACAUAGUAUAAGAUGCAGAUUGUAGUCUUUAACAGGUGUAGUCUAGUGAAGAAUUGCUCAUUGGCUAAAAAAAAAAAGUUUUGCAUCUAAAUAAUAUUAUCUAAACCGGUGCUUAAUUUUGUUUUUCAUUUAAAAUGGACCAGCAUUAAGCUGAUUAUUCAAAAGUUUCAUUUGCUUAUUGAGUUCUUUGUCUGCCAAUUCACCUUUUAAAUUUGUAGAAGUGCUCUAUUUUAUUCAUUUUGUUAAUUUGCCUCGACAACCCAAACAGAGUACCUAAGGCAGUUAUACAGAAUAGUGAAAUCUUGUUCUCUUUUUAUUUUAUAUUAUUAUUCUUUUUGGGAAAAUAGUGCACUUCAUUUUAAGAUAACUGUUGAAGAAAAAAAGGUUCAAUGAGCAAAUUGAAAUUAUUAAGGUUAAAUUACGUAUAACGUCCUAUUAUUUUACAUAAUGUCAGAUGACUCCCUAAGGUUUCAAAAUAGCUACAUAAUCCCUAUAAUUUUAUAUAAAGUGGAAAAUGAACGAAAUGCGCAAUCAGUGAUGGCCUUUAUACCAAACACGCUCUAAAAGCGUGUCUGAUAAAAUUUUAAUCUCCAUGUAACCACUUUAGGAUUUGUAUAAAUAUUCACUUAACUCUCUUGUGAUUUUUGCUUUUAUCCACAUAAUUCCCUUAUACUUUUAUACAAGGUAGUUGAGCCAUCAAUUAAUUUAGCAUUUAAGUAAGGGUACUAUUAGUAUUUUAAUUAAUGAUAUUAUAUAGGCUAUUUUUCUUUAAGUUUCCACAUUACACAAAACCAUAUGAGGAAGUAGAUAUUUUGAAACGUUAGGCAAUAGACGAAAUCACAGGGGGUCACAUGUAAUUUACUGAGUUAUUAAAAAUUAAUGAAUUAAAGUUGCAAGGAAAACUUUUCUAGAUAUGUUAAAAUUUAAAUAGCUCAAAGAAUUACAUGCUAAGUACCUAUAUAUGAAUAAUAUUUCCGUAUGGGAAUAUGCAUAUGCCACCGGAAACAUUUAAAAUCUGGUCAAAAAGCCAGCCAUCCACGUUGGUUGAAAGACCCAGGAUCAUGGCCUUACAAAUUGAAAUAGUUUCAGCUCAAAUCGGUUUAUGUAAUUUUUAUUGCAUCUGCUGUAAACUCGUAUACUUUUAGUAUAAUUGUCAAGUUAGUUAUAUAAGUUUACAAGUGCAAGUUUACAUCCAGAUUAUAUGAUUUUACACCAAAAGUUAUAAGAAUUAUACUAACCAAUUUAAACUCCGUCAAAUUUUAACUUGUGAGGCCCUAAUCCAUCCUUCCAUUCGUGAGUCAUAUGUCAAGGCAGAGCUAGCAUGCAGCACAAAACAAAGACUCCAGCAUGAUGAGUGCAAACCAGUAAUCUUUUUCUUUUACUAUUUUUAACCAUGAUUAUCGAUAAUCCACAAAUAUGAAAUCUUAGAACUAUGAAGAGGAAUCACUUACUUGUCUCCAUGAUCUUUCUCGGCGUUGAAGGUAGGAUGGCCUGAGUAGAAAUUAAGAAGAGAAAGAGAAGUAUGGUGAACAGAGCCUUGCUGUUGCUGCCCAUGUUUGUUACACAAGAGUUUUAAGGUUAGCGCUUGUAUUCUAAUAUUCCUACUCGAUGAUUAUGUAAAGAAACAAAUUUUUAUAGCCAUUUACGAAGCAAUCGAGUUUCUCUGCGAUUACAUUGACG